rnacentral:rRNA from 1 species
GACGAACGCUGGCGGCGGGCUUAACACAUGCAAGUCGAAAGGAAAGGCCCUGCUUUUGUGGGGUGCUCGAGUGGCGAACGGGUGAGGAACAAGGGAGUAACCUGCCCUUGACUUUGGGAUAAAUUCAGGAAACUGGGGCUAAUACCGGAUAGGAGCUCCUGCUGCCUGGUGGGGGUUGGAAAGUUUCGGCGGUUGGGGAUGGACUCGCGGCUUAUCAGCUUGUUGGUGGGGUAGUGGCUUACCAAGGCUUUGACGGGUAGCCGGCCUGAGAGGGUGACCGGCCACAUUGGGACUGAGAUACGGCCCAGACUCCUACGGGAGGCAGCAGUGGGGAAUAUUGCACAAUGGGCGGAAGCCUGAUGCAGCAACGCCGCGUGCGGGAUGACGGCCUUCGGGUUGUAAACCGCUUUCGCCUGUGACGAAGCGUGAGUGACGGUAAUGGGUAAAGAAGCACCGGCUAACUACGUG